AGAGUUUGAUCCUGGCUCAGGAUGAACGUUGGUAGCAUGACUAACAUAUGCAAGUCGAACGCGAAAGGUGUAAUCUGAAAGGAGCAAUCUGAUUAGGUUAUACUGAGUAAAGUGGCGAAAGGGUGAGUAAUGCUUAUUUUACCUACCGUUUAGUGGGGAGAAAUACCGCAUAUUCUGACUUCGGUCAGGAAAGGAAGUCG
rnacentral:rRNA from 1 species